rnacentral:rRNA from 1 species
GAUGAACGCUAGCUACAGGCUUAACACAUGCAAGUCGAGGGGAAACGAUAUUGGAAGCUUGCUUCUGAUAGGCGUCGACCGGCGCACGGGUGAGUAACGCGUAUCCAACCUGCCCAUCACUUGGGGAUAACCUUGCGAAAGUAAGACUAAUACCCAAUGACGUCUCUAGAAGACAUCUGAAAGAGAUUAAAGAUUUAUCGGUGAUGGAUGGGGAUGCGUCUGAUUAGCUCGUUGGCGGGGUAACGGCCCACCAAGGCGACGAUCAGUAGGGGUUCUGAGAGGAAGGUCCCCCCACAUUGGAACUGAGACACGGUCCAAACUCCUACGGGAGGCAGCAGUGAGGAAUAUUGGUCAAUGGGCGAGAGCCUGAACCAGCCAAGUAGCGUGCAGGAUGACGGCCCUAUGGGUUGUAAACUGCUUUUAUAAGGGAAUAAAGUGAGUCUCGUGAGACUUUUUGCAUGUACCUUAUGAAUAAGGACCGGCUAAUUCCGUGCC